AGGUAGUCAAGCCACAUAUUCCAUUAAUUAAGUUCCCAGACAGAAAAAGUAGUCCCAGACCUAAAAUACAGGAAUCUCUACAAGCAAGUAUGCCGUCUCUUAAUGCUUCAAAAGCACAGGAGUAUGUAGGAGGCAGACCACCAGCAUUUCAAAAUAUUUCACCUGUUAGUAGAGUACAAGGUAUACCAGACACUUCUGAAUUAGCAAGAACCUUACCUCAGAAAUACAGAAGGAAACUUAUGUCAGAUGAAGAGAUUGAAUAUAUUCAACGUGGAGGUCCAGAAUAAGUAUGGAAGAUUUUGUUUGCCACUGUUGAAGAAUGAAGUAUUGUAUUCACAAUAAAGGCAUUUCCUUAAUAUUA